rnacentral:lncRNA from 1 species
GGUGAGGUCUUCAAUCCAGAUGCAGCUCUGGUGAUUUUCACUGGCUGAGACCUGUGCCCACAGCUGGAGAACCAGGAUGAGUAAGUCACUCCUUUGGUUCUUGGAUUCCUGAAGAAAAAAGACUGCAGAAAUAAUUCUGUUAAAAUCUCCUGUGCACUUCCCAUAUUACUUCCAGCAGCCUGGGCGGGCUGGCCUCAAAAUCCCAAAGCCAGGAGGAUGGGAUGAUGGUGUUGCACAUGACAAC